UACGAAGGGUGCAAGCGUUACUCGGAAUUACUGGGCGUAAAGCGUGCGUAGGCGGUUUCUUAAGUCUGCUGUGAAAGCCCCGGGCUCAACCUGGGAAUGGCGGUGGAUACUGAGAAGCUGGAGUACGGUAGAGGAAGGUGGAAUUCCCGGUGUAGCGGUGAAAUGCGUAGAGAUCGGGAGGAACAUCAGUGGCGAAGGCGGCCUUCUGGACCAGUACUGACGCUGAGGCACGAAAGCGUGGGGAGCAAACAGG
rnacentral:rRNA from 1 species